CGCAGCCGCGGUAAUUCCAGCUCCAAUAGCGUAUAUUAAAGUUGUUGCAGUUAAAAAGCUCGUAGUUGAAUUUCGGAGUUAGUAGGUUGGUCAUGCCUCUGGUAUGUACUGGUCUCACUGAUUCCUCCUUCCUGAUGAGCCGUAAUGCCAUUAAUUUGGUGUUGCGGGGAAACAGGACUGUUACUUUGAAAAAUUAGAGUGUUUAAAGCAAGCUAACGCUUGAAUACAUUAGCAUGGAAUAAUGAAGUAGGACGUUCGAACCUAUUUUGUUGGUUUCUAGGAUUGACGUAAUGAUUAAUAGGGAUAGUUGGGGGCAUUAGUAUUCAAUUGUCAGAGGUGAAAUUCUUGGAUUUAUUGAAGACUAACUACUGCGAAAGCAUUUGCCAAGGAUGUUUUCAUUAAUCAAGAACGAAAGUUAGGGGAUCGAAGACGAUCAGAUACCGUCGUAGUCUUAACCAUAAACUAUGCCGACUAGGGAUCGGAUGAUGUUAAUUUUUAAUGUACUCAUUCGGCGCCUUAC
rnacentral:misc_RNA from 1 species